CCGGCUCCCUCCCGGUCCCCCGUGGAGCCCGACGGCGGGCGCAGCCGGCGCGCCGCGGCUGGGGUUUGCUGGCGGGUGGCUCUUCAGGGCGCCGGUGCCCUCGGGGCCUGCCUGGGCGGGGGAGGAAGCCGAGGGGGAGAAAGGGGAUGCGAAAGUGGGUCAGGAAUGUAACUGGACGCUGCGCACCCACCACGCACCCCCCUCCCCGCCUCCGCUGCGGGCAGGGGCGGCCGCCGCCAGCCUUGGAAAGCGAGUCUUUGCUGUUGUAGUUCCCCAGCAUUGUCGGUGGCCGGUUACCAGGGGAUCCGGAGGGAUGUGUUUCCUGUGACCCUCUGGGAAGAAAAACUUAGUUGCCUCAGUAACCGAGUUUGGCUGGGAUGCAGUGAUGCAGUGAGUGUUCUAGUGCAGUAGAAAGAACUUGGGCUCCACAAUCCUAGGACUUGGAUUCCACACCUGGCUCCACCACUUCCUACUUGUUUAAGUUGGGCAUAUUAUUCACUAUCCGUGUGUCUGAAAAUCAGCACUUAUUCCACAUUCAUCUGAAGCAACAGGACCCGUUUGACCAGUCGCCUCACUCAGUUGAAGGAACUGAAGUUGGCCAGAUUGGACACCUGUAUUAGUGACAGCCAGUAACUGAUAGAGCCAGGAUGGAACCCAGAGCUGUCUCAUGUCCCAGUCAACGCUCUUUCCGUGUAAUCUGCCACAUCCAAGUAUAUUUGCAGUCCUUGUUUUGCUUUAUAAAAUCCAACAUCUAAGAGGCUGGAGAAGAAAGAAAAACCCUUCUUUUAGCUGAAGCCUGAACUUGGAUUUCAAUUCAGGAAUAAAACAUGAUCUGAUACACAAUGUUAUGGCUGUAAUCCAUAGGAUAUAUGAAGAACUGAUGCAAUUAUAGUGUAAAGAUAAAUUGUGGGGAAGAGGAAUGGAUUUGAUGUGGAGAGGGCUGUGUGUUUUAAAAUUUGAAUUACCUGUAUUACCUGUCAUAUUCUGUAGAUAAUUGCUUCAGAUCCUUGACUUUGAUGCAGAUGUUUAUGACAUUAAAGGUAAUCACUUC